AUAAAAUAAUUAUAUUUUUUAAAAUUUAUUAUAAAUUUAUUUUACAUAUAAAUUUUAGUAUAAAAUUUUAAUUAUUUAAAUAAUAAUUAAAAUUAUAAUAUAGUAGUAAUUAAUAUUAAAAAUUUAAGAAAUUAAGAUUUAGUAAUAUAAAAAUUAAUAACUAAUUUUGUGCCAGCAGUUGCGGUUAAACAAAAGUUAAAUUAAAUUAUUUCAGUUUAUAAUAAAUAAAAUAUUUCAUUAAAAUAAAUAUUAAAUUAUUAAGUGAAAUUUUAAUUUAAUUAAAUUUUAUAUAAUUAUUAUGAUUUAAUAAAUUUUAAUAUAAACUAGGAUUAGAUACCCUAUUAUUAAAAAUUUAAUUUAUAAUACUAAAAUAGUAAAUAAUAAUUUAUUGAAACUUAAAUAAUAUGGCGGUAUUUUAGUUCAUUUAGAGGAAUCUGUCUAAUAAUUGAUAAUCCACGAAUAAAUUUACUUAAUUUAUAAUUUUGUAUAUCAUUGUUAAAAAAAUAUUUUUUAGUAAAAAUAAUAUUUAAAUUUUAUUAAAAAAAGUUAAAUCAGAUCAAGAUGCAGAAUAUAAUUAAGAAUAUGAUGGAUUACAUUAAAUAUAUUUAAAUGAAUAAUUUUAUUGUAAUAUAGAUUUGAAGGUGGAUUUAAAUGUAAUUUUAAUUAAUUUAUUAAAAUGAUUAAUAAUUAAAAUAUGUACAUAUUGCCCGUCACUUUCAUUUAAAAGUUGAAAUAAGUCGUAACAAAGUAGAGGUACUGGAAAGUGUUUCUAGAAAGA
rnacentral:ncRNA from 1 species